rnacentral:rRNA from 1 species
AUAUCAGUCAUGCAUAGCAUAUCAAUAAGCGGAGGAAAAGAAACUAACAAGGAUUCCCUUAGUAACGGCGAGUGAAGCGGGAAGAGCUCAAAUUUGAAAUCUUCAAGGUUCUACCUUGACGAAUUGUAGUUUAUAGAAGUGUUUUCUGUUAGUGGAGUGGCAAAAGUUCUUUGGAAUAGGACAUCAUAGAGGGUGAGAAUCCCGUAUUUGGUCAUUCCUCCUAGCGUUGUGAUACACUUUCAACGAGUCGGAUUGUUUGGGAAUGCAGUCCAAAAUGGGUGGUAAAUUUCAUCUAAAGCUAAAUAUUGGCGAGAGACCGAUAGCGAACAAGUACCGUGAGGGGAAAGAUGAAAAGAACUUUGAAAAGAGAGUUAAACAGUACGUGAAAUUGUCAAAAGGGAAGCGUUUGACACCAGUGUUGUUUUUUCCGAAAAUCAAUUACGAAUGUUUUAUUUUUUGAGGAGUUAUGACUUCAUCGGCUUGCUCCUUUCUUUACGAAACUUUCUUAAUGCACUUUUCGGUUAACAAGUCAACAUCAAUUUCUUUUGUUGUAAAAGGGUAUGAGGAAGGUGGCUUUCUUUUCGGAGAAAGUGUUUAUAGCCUUGUGCCUCUGCAAUCGGAGAGAUUGAGGUCUGCAGCGUAGAUCCUUCGGGGUUAGAUACGUUUGUGCUAAGCUAUAGCCUUGCAUAGACAACUUGUUGACUAUGCUCAGUCAUGUAGCUUACUCGCUUGUGCUAUUUUACCUACGCUUAGGAUGUUGAUCUCUCACAGUCGAGC